rnacentral:lncRNA from 1 species
UUAAAGGUUUGUUUUAAAGUUUUCUGAAAUAAUGUAAAAAACAGCAUGAAUUUAGUCUUUUUACAUUUAAAAACUGAGCUUUUGCAUUUUUUUUAAUUAUAUCAUGACAUUUGACAGGGGGUUUCUAAUAGAAUGUUCUGUUCCACCCUAAAAAGUGAAGACUGAUUUACUGAAGACAAGGAAGUGUAUUUGAGAAAGUCUCUUUUUGAUGGAGUUCAAAGCUUAAUUAGGUGGAUCAGCUUUAAACUUUGAAGCCUUAGAGGGUUAAACCUUUACACAUUUAACCCUGCCUGUGUUUGAUUCUUUUUAGUAUCAAAUGGUUUUGUUUUUUCCAUUCUGACAGGGAAAUGACGGCGAGCGAGGUCAGAAAGGUUCACCUGGAUUGAAUGGAGAGCCUGGAAUAACAGGUAGAGAUGGUGAUCCUGGUGCUAGAGGGCCUCCAGGAGACACAGGGAAAUCAAUAUUUGGUCUGAAAGGUGAUGAGGGGAUCAUAGGAGAGCAGGGCCCUCCAGGUCCUUAUGAAGUGAUUGAGCCACCAGAAGAUUACUACCAGAAAGGAGACAAGGGGAGAAAAGGAGUUAAAGGACAGUGUGGACCUACUGGUUUUAAAGGAGAAAUUGGACCUCCUGGGGAGAAGGGAGAAAAAGGAAUCCCGGGUUUCCCAGGAAUCAGAGUAAGUCUGAGUUUUAUUAUCCAAACGGUAUACACAGUACACAGUUCUUAUAAUGUAGUUAAAUUUAUUUUGUAUCUGUAUUUCAUUAAUCACACUAUAUAUGUAUACUAAGGGAGCCCCUGGAUACCCUGGACUACCUGGCAUACAAGGACGUGAGGUACAAAUAUGUUUGUGUGUGUGUGUGUGUGUGUGUGUGCGUGUGUAAUUAUGCAGAGUUAACCUUCUGCUUGUUCUUACAGGGUGGACGUGGUAGCGAUGGUCUCCCUGGUCUUAUUGGCAACAAAGGACAAAAGGUUUUUAGAAUAUGUUCCCUGAUUUUCCUUUAAGUUUAAAGUUCCCUGAGCCCCGUCACAUUCAGCCCCGUCACAUUCAGCCCCGUCAUAUUCAGCCCCGUCACAUUCAGCCCCAUUAUAAUCA